AACCCAGAAUAGAAGUGGAAAUGCUGUCCCGCUUGAAGAGCCAAGCAGCAACUAUACAGGGAGAGUAUGUCUUGCUUUGUUUGUGUACACAGAUGUGCAUUGAGCUAAGGCAACCAUGCUGUUAAAGUGGAAUGUACUUUAGAAAAAUUAGCAUUUGAAUUUGUUUGGGUCGGGUAUGAUAAAAGUUAGUGUGGUUUUAUUACUUGAAUGAAAUGUGGGAGUAUAUGGGAAAAACACAAUGGAGUAAGACUUAAAUUCAGUGUAAUGCAAAUGUUUGUAACUGGCAAUGUGCUUGUUGCAGGCUUUUGACUGACAGGUGCAGCAGCGUGCAAGGAAAGGUUUGUGCAUGCGCUUGCUUGAGCACAGCAUGUUCACAAUUCACUUAGGGGUUGGCAUUGUUUGUUUUUACAUUUUGAUAAAAUUUCCCUUGAGGCAAGUAAUGUGCAUUAUUGAUUUGUCCCCCUGGUGUUGUCAUUGUACAGUUUUGUUGCCAACUAUUGGUUUGUUUUUGCAUGGCAGCAGUGAAGUGUGAUGAGCUGAGAUGCACCGGAAAUGACUGGCAGCUUGAAUAUCUUGAGGAAAAUGGACUGCUGGAGGAGCCAUUUGGGAGAGGAAGCACCAAUGGUGUGCUUGUGGAGUGGAAGAGUUCUGGGAAAAAAAGGCUGGCCAAAGGUAACAAUGUAAGUCUCCCAAUUUGUUUUGUUUGGUGUUAAUUUUUUUCAGGGCUCAGAAGUUGCUUGAUGGGAUGAGGAAAAGGACCAAUUUUCCUGUCAAGCACCCCUCAGGACUAAAAAGGGAAAAUUGUGUUGAUCAAGAGUCCUCCCUCAAAAGUGCACAGACAUGAGUCCAAUAAACAUUACAUCUGCCAUCACAACUACCUCUGGUCCACUGACAAACUCAUCUACAUGCUGCAGAAUUGUCCCUUUGCCCUGCAACAAAGCCACCUCCAUAGGAUUGACUAUAAAACUGCAAAAUUCAUGACCUGA